rnacentral:tRNA from 1 species
UAAAGGUUCUUGUAGUUGAAUUA